rnacentral:tRNA from 1 species
UGCUCUGUGGCUUAGUUGGUUAAAGCGCCGGUCUAGCGAAUACGGAGUCGUGGGUUCGAAUCCCACCAUAACGU